AACGUGGACCCGUAAUCCGGGUUGCGGACAGUGUCUGGUGGGUAGUUUGACUGGGGCGGUCUCCUCCUAAAGAGUAACGGAGGAGCACGAAGGUUGGCUAAUCCUGGUCGGACAUCAGGAGGUUAGUGCAAUGGCAUAAGCCAGCUUGACUGCGAGCGUGACGGCGCGAGCAGGUGCGAAAGCAGGUCAUAGUGAUCCGGUGGUUCUGAAUGGAAGGGCCAUCGCUCAACGGAUAAAAGGUACUCCGGGGAUAACAGGCUGAUACCGCCCAAGAGUUCAUAUCGACGGCGGUGUUUGGCACCUCGAUGUCGGCUCAUCACAUCCUGGGGCUGAAGUAGGUCCCAAGGGUAUGGCUGUUCGCCAUUUAAAGUGGUACGCGAGCUGGGUUUAGAACGUCGUGAGACAGUUCGGUCCCUAUCUGCCGUGGGCGCUGGAGAACUGAGGGGGGCUGCUCCUAGUACGAGAGGACCGGAGUGGACGCAUCACUGGUGUUCGGGUUGUCAUGCCAAUGGCACUGCCCGGUAGCUAAAUGCGGAAGAGAUAAGUGCUGAAAGCAUCUAAGCACGAAACUUGCCCCGAGAUGAGUUCUCCCUGAGACUUAG
rnacentral:rRNA from 1 species